rnacentral:ncRNA from 1 species
ACAGGUUUGGAUGGAUAGGGCGUGUUGCUAUGCCUCUGUCGAUGUAUCCACUCCUACAUGUGGGGUUUUGCCAGAUAGGGAUGCUCUUGUGCUCCUAGGGUUGUGCUAUGCUUGUUGUCUCCACUCCUACACAGGGUUUGGCCGGAUAGGGCUGCUCUAAUGCGCCUAGGUCGAUUACUCUCUCUCUGGUUGUUGUCGUGAAUGGGUGUAGGAAAUUAACCUUGUCAAAAAUGGUAUGGACAAGGGGAAUCUGACUGUUUAAUUGAAACAAAGCAUUGCGAUGGUCCCUGCGGAUGCUAACACAAUGUGAUUUAUGCCCAGUGCUCUGCAUGUAAAGUGAAGAAAUUCAACCAAGCGCAGGUAAACAAUGUGAGUAACUAUGACUCUCUUAAGGUAUCCAGAUGUCUUGUCAUCUAAUUAGUGACACGCAUGAAUGGAUGAACGAGAUUCCCACUAUCCUUAGCUACUAUCUAGAGAAACCACAACCAAGGAAAUGGGUUUGGAAAAAUUAGCAGGGAAAGAAGAUCCUGUUAAGCUUGACUCUAGUCCAACUUUGUGAAAUGGCUUGAGAGGUGUAGAAUAAGUGGGAGUCAUUUUCAGUGCAAGUGAAACACGACCACUACUUUUAACAUUAUUUUACUUAUUUUGUGGGGUGGAGACGGGGCAUUGCACAUAUGUUAAAAUAUAACACACAUUUCCUCAAAGUGUUGUCAUUGAUGGAAAUGGUGGAGUGUGAUAUUCUAAAUUUAAAUAAGUAUGCAGAACAUAAAUAAUUAGCUAUAAAUGGAAGAUAAAUAAUGAUAUAAAUAGAACAAUACCACAAUAAUACCGGAAUAACACCAGAAAGAGCACUUUGAUUACUGAGAGCAAUGUUCACUUGCCUCUUCGAGGGGGAAACCUCC